GCCGUGCUUUGAUCCCACCCCGCUCAGGGCUCCGCGCUGCCCCGCUGGGCGCGCCGCAGCCGCAGCCACCCCCCUCCCCAGUGCGGGUCGGGGCGGCCAGCAGGCGCCAGCUCGCCGCUUACCCGGUCUGACUGCAGCUCCUCCCCCUGGCACAAGCGGCAGAGGAACGAUUUCUGCUCCCGGCACAAGGGAGCUAGUUCUCUGGUACAAUUCAGUCCCUUUAUGCCAUAUAAGGGGCAUAAAGGCAACAGUUUUCCCCACAGGUGUAACCAAGAGCAGAUUAACUCUCCAAAUGCACUGAAUCAAAUACCCCUGACGUUGUCUGCUGGGGGAGAUUUUCAGCUCCAAGACUUAAGAUGGUGGCCUUGUGAAAAUGACUGCCAUUACGGGUAGUUCUUCCCUAGGGCUUCAACUCAGCAAGAAGCUGGUCCAAUAGAAGCUAUUACUUCACCCACCUUGUCUUGCUAAUAUCCUGGGAGCAACACUGCCUACAGGGGGAGUACUCUCACUCUUAGUGUUAGGCAUGUGUAAGUAUCAUGCUGAAUUGGAGCAUAGCAUCUGAAAGUCACACAAUUGCAUGGCUGCAGGACAUUAACAGCCUGAAACAAACAACAGAGAGGUAUGCUGUCCCUUUCUUAUUUGAUCUACAGGUCUCUCCCAGGCAAACUGAAAUAUACCUACCAAGGAUGAAACAAAUACUGCAGUCACUUUAUCAGCACAGCUUUCUUCACAGAGAAUAAGGGUAUGUCUACAAUGGAAGUGUAAUUUGCCACCUGGAUAGACAUAGCACGCUAAAAACAGCAGCAUAGCUGCAGCCGCACAAACUGCAUGACAGCCUAGCAGCCCCAAGCAUGAUCCAGUCUGAAACUGCAGGAUUUCAAGUUCCCCAGGAACAAUGGUGGAUGCAGAACUGGCUGAGAACAAAUCAGAGUCCAACUAUGAGAAGAAACCUAAAUUGCUCCUCCACUCAUCUUCCUCACUCAGUGUCUAAUCAGGAUGGAUCAUCCCAGCUGCUGAGUCCAGCCUGAAUCAAUUAUUCCACCAACCCAUAACAAGUGCUUCCUCCCUCUAAUAAGACGCUGUAAAGAGGCAUCUUCCAUGCCCAGAAAAAUGGGUUGUAGGCAAGAAGGGGGAGGGGAGUAGGAGGAAGGGGCUAGAACCAUGUGUUUAGAUUUGUCACCCAAGACCUUCACUCAAUACCACUAUGAUUUUAAAACAGGAAAGGCUAAGACCAUCUCCCAAAGCCUGUUCCAAGGCAAUCUGUCUGCACCGCAGGGACAGAAGCGUUGCUUCAGAGGGUCUUGCCUCUGCCCUCAGAGAUGACCUCUCCAGGCCGAGCCCGCAUGUACCACUCCACCCAGGCACCAUCGUAGACAGCCACGUCUGGCUUGCCACAGAGGUACGCCCCCAAGGCCACAUGGCAGGCAGUGACUCCCGAGCCACAUGUGGCUACCACUGGCUUUGAGAGGUCCACUUUCUUCUCCUGGAAUAAGCUGCGGAUCGCUUCAGGGGUCUUCUCAAAGCCAGCUUCUGUGAGGAAAUCCAAGAAGGGGAUGUUCAGGGAGCCAGGGAUAUGACCAGGCUCAAUUCCUGGAGGAAGAGGAAGGAGACCAACGCAGACAGGAGUUAAUCUUUACAUCACGGAGGGUUCCAUCGCACAACCCCUUCUUCACUACCCUCCACGCAUACUCAUGCCAUGGCAACCCUCCCUCUACAGCCACUGCACAAGGUUAUGUGAGGGUUAAUGUCUGUAUGUUUGAUCACAAGGCGUCAUAUCAAAGCUAAAUAUUAUUAAAGGGAUGGGGUGUGUGGGAGCUACCUUCUCUUCCGCCUCCCCAGGUCCCCGAGAGAUUGAGUGCACUGCUGCCUCUGAACCAUGGGACUCUGCAUUCAUACUAAAA